rnacentral:sRNA from 1 species
GUAUAGCCGUUUUUCCGACAAAAAGGCAUCUGCUUUUUUAUACAAAUUGGAAAAACAGACGACUGAUAUGGCGGUAUUGUGU